AUACGGAGGGUGCAAGCGUUAAUCGGAAUUACUGGGCGUAAAGCGCGCGUAGGCGGCUUGGUAAGUCGGAUGUGAAAUCCCCGGGCUUAACCUGGGAAUUGCAUUCGAUACUGUCAGGCUAGAGUGUGGUAGAGGGAAGUGGAAUUUCCGGUGUAGCGGUGAAAGGCGUAGAUAUCGGAAGGAACACCAGUGGCGAAGGCGGCUUCCUGGACCAACACUGACGCUGAGGCGCGAAAGCGUGGGGAGCAAACAGGAUUAGAAACCCUAGUAGUCC
rnacentral:rRNA from 1 species